CAGUCGCCGCGGGAAUACGUAGGGUGCAAGCGUUAAUCGGAAUUACUGGGCGUAAAGCGUGCGCAGGCGGUUAUAUAAGACAGAUGUGAAAUCCUCGGGCUCAACCUGGGAACUGCAUUUGUGACUGUAUAGCUAGAGUACGGCAGAGGGGGAUGGAAUUCCGCGUGUAGCAGUGAAAUGCGUAGAUAUGCGGAGGAACACCGAUGGCGAAGGCAAUCCCAUGGGCCUGUACUGACGCUCAUGCACGAAAGCGUGGGGAGCAAACAGGAUUAGAUACCCCAGUAGUCCCUGUCUCUUAUAC
rnacentral:rRNA from 1 species